GACGAACGCUGGCGGCGUGCUUAACACAUGCAAGUCGAACGGAAAGGCCUGCUUUCCCUUGUGGAUUGCGGGUACUCGCGUGGCGAACGGGUGAGUAACACGUGAGUGAUCUGCCCCCAACUUGGGUAUAAGCCUGGGAAACUGGGUCUAAUUCCCGAUAGGACUGCAGGGUGGUGCCUGUGGUGGAAAACGAUUUUCUAGUGGUUGGGGAUGAGCUCGCGGCCUAUCAGCUUGUUGGUGGGGUAAUGGCCUACCAAGGCGGCGACGGGUAGCCGGCCUGAGAGGGUGGACGGCCACAUUGGGACUGAGAUACGGCCCAGACUCCUACGGGAGGCAGCAGUGUGGAAUAUUGCACAAUGGGCGGAAGCCUGAUGCAGCGACGCCGCGUGGGGGAUGACGGCCUUCGGGUUGUAAACUCCUUUCGACCGCGAGGAAGCCACCUGGUUGGAAGGGUGGUGACGGUAGUGGUAGAAGAAGCACCGGCUAACUACGUG
rnacentral:rRNA from 1 species